AGUCAACAUGCCCAGGGGACGUGGAUAACCUCGGGAAACUGAGGAUAAACCGCGAUAGGUCAUCACUUCUGGAAUGGGUAAUGACUUAAACCUAUAUGGCCCCUGGAUUGGACUGCGGCCGAUCAGGCUGUUGGUGAGGUAAUGGCCCACCAAACCUGUAACCGGUACGGGCUCUGAGAGGAGGAGCCCGGAGAUGGGCACUGAGACAAGGGCCCAGGCCCUAUGGGGCGCAGCAGGCGCGAAACCUCUGCAAUAGGCGAAAGCUUGACAGGGUUACUCUGAGUGAUUUCCGUUAAGGAGAUCUUUUGGCACCUCUAAAAAUGGUGCAGAAUAAGGGGUGGGCAAGUCUGGUGUCAGCCGCCGCGGUAAUACCAGCACCCCGAGUGGUCGGGACGUUUAUUGGGCCUAAAGCAUCCGUAGCCGGUUCUACAAGUCUUCCGUUAAAUCCACCUGCUUAACAGAUGGGCUGCGGAAGAUACUAUAGAGCUAGGAGGCGGGAGAGGCAAGCGGUACUCGAUGGGUAGGGGUAAAAUCCGUUGAUCCAUUGAAGACCACCAGUGGCGAAGGCGGCUUGCCAGAACGCGCUCGACGGUGAGGGAUGAAAGCUGGGGGAGCAAACCGGAUUAGAUACCCGGGUAGUCCCAGCUGUAAACGAUGCAGACUCGGUGAUGGGUUGGC
rnacentral:rRNA from 1 species